ACCUGUGACAAUAAACACUCUGUGAAUUUUCUAUAUGAAUUCAGAACCAACCAUGCAUAUAUAUAAUAUCUGCUCUGCAUCCUUCCAUAAGAUUAAGUGUUCUCUAAGGUGCUUGCAUGUUUUAACAGUGUUUGUACUUUCAAUUUCAAUCCUGCAUAUCCUACAACUGGAGUGAUGUUUACAGCUAACAUGGCGGUUCUUGGGAAGAGGUUUUUUCCGACA